AUACGUAGGGGGCUAGCGUUAUCCGGAAUUACUGGGCGUAAAGGGUGCGUAGGUGGUUUCUUAAGUCAGAAGUGAAAGGCUACAGCUCGACCGUAGUAAGCUUUUGAAACUAAGAGACUUGAGUGCAGGAGAGGAGAGUAGAAUUCCUAGUGUAGCGGUGAAAUGCUUAGAUAUUAGGAGGAAUACCAGUUGCGAAGGCGGCUCUCUGGACUGUAACUGACACUGAGGCACGAAAGCGUGGGGAGCAAGCAGGAUUAGAUACCCUGGUAGUCCACGCCGUAAACGAUGAGUACUAGCUGUCGGGGGUUACCCCCCUCGGUGGCGCAGCUAACGCAUUAAGUACUCCGCCUGGGAAGUACGCUCGCAAGAGUGAAACUCAAAGGAAUUGACGGGG
rnacentral:rRNA from 1 species